rnacentral:rRNA from 1 species
UACGUAGGGGGCAAGCGUUGUCCGGAAUCAUUGGGCGUAAAGCGCGUGUAGGCGGCUCGAUAAGUCUGCUGUGAAAGUUCAGGGCUCAACCCUGAAAUGCCGGUGGAAACUGUCGAGCUAGAGUACGGAAGAGGUGAGUGGAAUUCCUGGUGUAGCGGUGAAAUGCGCAGAUAUCAGGAGGAACACCAAUGGCGAAGGCAGCUCACUGGGACGUUACUGACACUGAGACGCGAAAGCGUGGGGAGCAAACAGG